rnacentral:rRNA from 1 species
GACGAACGCUGGCGGCGUGCUUAACACAUGCAAGUCGAACGCAGUGGCGAACGGGUGAGUAACGCGUAAUCAACCUGCCCUUCUGAGGGGGACAACAGUUGGAAACGACUGCUAAUACCGCAUACUGAAGGAGGGGCUUGCGUCUGAUUAGCUAGUUGGGGGGGUAACGGCCCACCAAGGCGAUGAUCAGUAACCUGACUGGGGAGGUGGACGGCCAACUGGGGACUGGGAACCGGGCCAGGAUCCUGCGGGGGGCAGCAGGGGGGGAACUUCCGGAAUGGGCGGAAGUCUGGCGGGGCAACGCCGCGGGAGUGAUGGCGGCCUUCGGGUUGUAAAGCUCUGUUAAUCGGGACGCGGUACCGGAAUAGAAAGCCACGGCUAACUACGUGCCAGCAGCCGCGGUAAUUC